GCCGCUCUAGCUCAGCUGGUAGAGCAACGCAUUCGUAAUGCGUAGGUCGAGGGUUCGAGUCCCUUGGGCGGCU
rnacentral:tRNA from 1 species